AGCGAAGAAAAUUAUUAUAAAUAGCUAUACCUGUAUCACUUUAUGAGUUUAGAAUUGAAUAAUACCAUAGUUAUUCCUAUAACACAAUGUCCUUAUUGUAUUCCCAAUCAGUCACUUGGAAAGUCGCCCUUAAUGCGGAAACAUGUCUUUGCAAGGAUGACGGAACUGUGGCAAAUCGAUUUUGUAGCUUCAUCACCAAUCAGAGACGGGGCAGUCUUUUUUCAUUACGCUCGCAAUAUAUUAGGCGAAGGUACCCCACACCGCCCUUGGCAUUGUCAACGCCUGGAAGGGAAUCCAGACGGGCCCGCAGGAGGAGAGGCGAUCCACUUGGGUAUUGAUAAAUGCGUUGAAAACUAAGCGACCGCCCCACGCCAGGCUCCCCGAUUCCCGAUCCUCGAGAGACCCUCCCGCUCGGUGGUCAAAUUCAAUUGGCGCAAUUUUUCAUCUGUGGCUCCCAGGGAUCCGAUCUGGCGGAUCCUUUUGGGCCGUUGCUGCUGCCGUCUAUUGUUGCCCUGGGCUCUGGCAAUUGUUCUCGGUUGUCGGUUCUCGGUUCUGGAUCUCUGGAGCUAUGGGGCCAUGGGGCUUUGCGGCUAUGAAGACUCCUUGCUGAAGUGCUCUUUGCAAUGGAGCAAUGGAUUUCUUUGGGUCUUCGGCCUGUGCCAUGGAUGAUGUGCCAUUGGAUUGGGUUGACUGAAAAUAGUGUUGCUCAGGCUAAAUAUAAAAAAAAACAAAUUAAAAUAAAACUUAAGCAAUUAAAAUUCAGAAAUAUCUUGGCUUUACAAUUUGUUACGUUAACAGCAUUAUUCUUAUAUAAAUAUUACAUUUCUGAUUCUUAAAAUUCUCUUGAAA